rnacentral:rRNA from 1 species
AAUGAACGCUGGCGGCAUGCCUAACACAUGCAAGUCGAACGAAGGCUUCGGCCUUAGUGGCGCACGGGUGCGUAACGCGUGGGAAUCUGCCCUCAGGUUCGGAAUAACAGCGAGAAAUUGCUGCUAAUACCGGAUGAUAUCGCGAGAUCAAAGAUUUAUCGCCUGAGGAUGAGCCCGCGUAGGAUUAGCUAGUUGGUGUGUUAAAGGCGCACCAAGGCGACGAUCCUUAGCUGGUCUGAGAGGAUGAUCAGCCACACUGGGACUGAGACACGGCCCAGACUCCUACGGGAGGCAGCAGUGGGGAAUAUUGGAUAAUGGGCGAAAGCCUGAUCCAGCAAUGCCGCGUGAGUGAUGAAGGCCUUAGGGUUGUAAAGCUCUUUUACCCGGGAUGAUAAUGACAGUACCGGGAGAAUAAGCUCCGGCUAACUCCGUGCCAGCAGCCGCAGUAA